UACGUAGGGUGCGAGCGUUAAUCGGAAUUACUGGGCGUAAAGCGUGCGCAGGCGGGCUUUUAAGCCAGACGUGAAAGCCCCGGGCUUAACCUGGGAAUGGCAUUGGAAACUGGCGGGCUUGAGUGCGGCAGAGGGGGGUGGAAUUCCGCGUGUAGCAGUGAAAUGCGUAGAGAUGCGGAGGAACACCGAUGGCGAAGGCAGCCCCCUGGGUCGACACUGACGCUCAGGCACGAAAGCGUGGGGAGCAAACAGG
rnacentral:rRNA from 1 species